rnacentral:rRNA from 1 species
GGUUAAGCGACUAAGCGUACACGGUGGAUGCCUAGGCAAUCAGAGGCGAUGAAGGACGUGCUAAUCUGCGAUAAGCGUCGGUAAGGUGAUAUGAACCGUUACAACCGACGAUUUCCGAAUGGGGAAACCCAGUGCAAUYCGUUGCACUAUCGUUUGAUGAAUACAUAGUCAAACGAAGCGAACCG